rnacentral:rRNA from 1 species
AGUGAACGCUGGCGGUAGGCCUAACACAUGCAAGUCGAACGGCAGCACAGUAAGAGCUUGCUCUUACGGGUGGCGAGUGGCGGACGGGUGAGGAAUACAUCGGAAUCUACUUUUUCGUGGGGGAUAACGUAGGGAAACUUACGCUAAUACCGCAUACGGCCUACGGGUGAAAGCAUGGGAUCUUCGGACCUUGCGCGAUUGAAUGAGCUGAUGUCGGAUUAGCUAGUUGGCGGGGUAAAGGCCCACCAAGGCGACGAUCCGUAGCUGGUCUGAGAGGAUGAGCAGGCACACUGGAAAUGAGACACGGUCCAGAAGACGACGGGAGGCAGCAGUGGGGAAUAUUGGACAAUGGGCGCAAGCCUGAUCCCGUCAUGGCGAGGGGGGGAAGAAGGUAUUCGGAUUGUAAAGCACUUGAAGUUGGCAAAAAGAGAAGGAAGUUAAUACCUCGCUGUUUGGACGUUACCAAAAGAAGAAGAAAGGGCUAACUUCGUG